rnacentral:sRNA from 1 species
UAACAAUUGGCCUAUAAAUACGACAAUCCCUUGUGUAAUCCUACGAUCAACAACCGAAGCCUCUUUUCCCAAACACCCUAGUUUGUAAUACCUUCCUCUCCUUCUGCAGCUCUUUCGUAAAUUUGAUUUGUUGUUUCUCGCCUGGGCAAAGAUGAAGAGUGCUUGAUUAUUCUGACACCUCUUGUAUGAGACGGAUCUUUGCUAAAGGUUUCGUCUUUGAGCACAGAAAGCAACUCUCUGAGUCCAACAACAUUAGGCCCGUGAUGUUAGAAAAUAUUUGCUACUCUUGAUGGGAUCACCCAUUUGAUGAUUCUUAUCCACCAAGAUCUCUGAGGCUCUUACUUUCAAACAUUAUGUAGAUAUUUAUAAAGUGUAUUUUGUAUUGUUAUUUGAAUUGUUUUUACACCUUUGACAAUGCGAUACAAGUCUAUCACGGUCUGCAACAUUAACAUAAGGAAUGCUUCUCUAUCUGGUCUGUGUGGAUUUGUUCUGUUCCCAUAUGACUCGUUCCCUUGAAGCUAAAUAUAUUGUGUUGCUUUUCUAAAUGUCGAUCCCUGGGUAUUUUCCCUCUGAUACUUUGGGAUAUUAGUGAAGCAGCUAAAUAUUUGUUGGAUCACAUUUUGAUAGACUUUUAUUUAUGUGUUAUAUUUCUAUUAUGUAUCACAUCCUUGUUUGCCGUGUUAUUUCUCUGAUUUUUUUUUCUACAGUGCUUUGCUUUUCAAGUGACACUUUAUUUUGCAGAUUGAGAAUGGUUUUUAUUAUUUUUUUAUUUGAAUUUCCUUUGAUGUAAGGAGACGUAGCCUAUG